rnacentral:rRNA from 1 species
UACGAAGGGUGCAAGCGUUACUCGGAAUUACUGGGCGUAAAGCGUGCGUAGGUGGUGAGUUAAGUCUGUCGUGAAAGCCCCGGGCUCAACCUGGGAAUGGCGAUGGAUACUGGCUCGCUAGAGUGCGGUAGAGGAGAGUGGAAUUCCCCGGUGUAGCAGUGAAAUGCGUAGAGAUCGGGAGGAACAUCAGUUGCGAAGGCGGCUCUCUGGACCAGCACUGACACUGAGGCACGAAAGCGUGGGGAGCAAACAGG